rnacentral:rRNA from 1 species
UGAGUAACCUGCCCAUGACUCUGGAAUAACAGUUGGAAACAGCUGCUAAUACCGGAUACGACCUCCGACGGCAUCAUCUGGAGGUGGAAAGCUCCGACGGUCAAGGAUGGGCUCGCGGCCAUCAGCUUGUUGGUGAGGUAACGGCUCACCAAGGCUUCGACGGGUAGCCGGCCUGAGGAGGGCGACCGGCCACACUGGGACUGAAACACGGGCCAGACUCCGUACGGGAGGNAGACG